AAAAUCCCGCUCACUCUUACCCGCUCGUUACUCCUUCUUUUUCUCAUCUAUGUCGCUUGCCCUAAAUCUCCCAAAUAAAAUUUAGCUAUUUUACUUUUCUCGAUCUGGAAUAAAAGAAAAAAAGAAACUGAAAAAGGCACAAAGGGUUUUUGGAAGCAAAGCAGAGCGAAGAACUGUGUGAAGCCAGAGCUAUCGAGCAUGUUCGAGUCUUAGCACAUGAAAUUGAUGGUCGUCAAGAAAAGGCUACUGAACAAGAUGCUGUUGAAAUCUUGAUGUAUUUGCAUACGGCUUGCUUGAGGUGUUGAUCUUUGUGACUUCUAUCACCAUAUGGAAUAAAGGCAUCAUUAGCCAAAUAAUUCUUUCGUUCCCUAUAGCAGUUUUUACUGGGAAAAAUAUGUUUGCUGAAAGGAGUAAAAAAGGCAUUAGUGAUAAUAAGAUAUAUCAUUAUCACUUAAAUCUUGGAGGAAGUGUUUCUACUAGAAGGCUGACUAGGCUACCUUCAAUUCCUAAGAAUGAUGCAAAGUUCAGGUAUACGCCAUAAACAUUUCUCUGAUCUUAAGUUAUACAAAACAUUAUGAUCUUAUUUAUUUGUUUAUUUAUAAAAAAACUAAUAUUGCUAUGCUACCACCAGUCCUCUAGUGGUUACUAAUAGUAAUAAAAAAAGGGGAAAAAGAACAAAGCUAUUCCAUUUCGCUAUACUUGAGGUGUAUAAAUGUUGUUAAUUGAGAUGUUAAAGUGCUGCAAAUUGAAGUGUUUAAAUGCUGUAAAUUGAACUGUUAAAGUGCUGCAAAUUGAAGUGUUAGAGUGCUGUAAAUUGGAGUGUUUAAGUACUGCAAAUUGAAGUGUUUAGUUGCUGGAAAUUGAGAUGUUUAAAUGUUGUUAAUUGAAAUGUUAAAGUGCUGCAAAUUGAAGUGUUUUAAUGCUGUAAAUUGAAGUGUUAAAGUGCUGCAAAUUGAAGUGUUUAAAUGUUGUUAAUUGAAAUGUUAAAGUGCUGCAAAUUGAAGUGUUUAAA